rnacentral:sRNA from 1 species
AUAUCUCUCCGUACGGGAAGGAUGAGAAGCUUCGACUAAGGUUCGAUUCGAGCGUCAGCGAGAAAGCGUUGCCGCAGGCAACGACCCGAAGGGCGAAGCGCGCAGCGCUGAGUCAUCCUUCCCC